rnacentral:lncRNA from 10 species
GACAGGAAGUUCCUCCCUUCUCCAGAGCGCCGUCGACCCCACGCCACGCAGAGGUGAAGAUACGCAGGACGUCCUCUAAAGCAACUUCCGUGGGUGCCAGGUUGUGGGCUGGGGGCGGUGCUGACCUUGAGAGAGCGGAGGAGGCGCAGGCGCAGCACAGUUUAAACUUGAUUUUGUGAGGGGACGAACAGCGUGACAAUUAAAAGAAGAUCUGGGAAUCGAAUACCCAUCUCGAGUUCUGGAUAUGUGCUCUGAGAAGGUGCCCAUGUCACCGACCACACUGGAGGCCAAUGCAGAUACUGGGGGAAGGUUCCAUGGUAGCUAAGUGUGGACAAGCUAAUCACUGAAGUUCCCUGAUGCAGAGUUGAUAAUCUCUCUAGAGUUGGAUGAAAGACUGUGCUGCCUUGAAGCUCUGAGAGAUGCCAUGCCAAUUCAAGGCAGGGUCUUUAUUGUUGAAACUCUUGCGUAAUGACAUCUUUAUUCAGGUGAAAAUACAGGAUGAAUUUCAACUAUAUGAUAUUGUUUAUGUUCCUCAGACAUGUUAUUUGUCUUUACAAAGAUUGGUUUCAAUAAACUGUGUGACUGAUAUUAAAUAAACAUGGAAUUUUACACAUUCAUAAUAUUUGGUUUCUU